rnacentral:rRNA from 1 species
CCUACGGGAGGCAGCAGUGAGGAAUAAUGGUCAAUGGACGAGAGUCUGAACCAGCGAAGUAGCGUGAAGGAGGAAUGCCCUAUGGGUUGUAAACUUCUGUUAUAGGGGAAUAAAAUGGUACACGUGUGGGAUGUUGUAUGUACCAUAUGAAUAAGGAUCGGCUAACUCCGUGCCAGCAGCCGCGGUAAUACGGAGGAGCCGAGCGUGUUCCGGAUUUAUUGGGUUUAAAGGGUGCGUAGGUGGAUUGUUAAGUCCGUUGUGAACGGUUGCGGCUCAACCGUAAAAUUGCCUUUGAAACUGGCAGUCUUGAUUACAGUAGCGGUGGGCGGAAUUCGUGUUGUAGCCGU